AAAGAACACUCAAAUGUGUUUAAGAAAUUUUAAGUCACUUCCUUCUUAUGUAAAAGUUUAUAAGAAGUCUUGGUGCUUAAGAUAGGCGAGGGUGUUCAAUUACUCAAAUAGGUUGCAGUGAGAAUGCAUUCAUUCUAAAAAGUUAUUGGAAUCCGAUACUGAAAAUAAAGAUGAUGUGAGCAUGGACGGCAUAAGCCAUCCCAAACACAAUCCAAGCCAAGGAGAGAAAGAGAGGGAGGACCGAGAAGGACAAAAAGGCUGCACGGACGGCCAAGGAAGCUUAAUGGGUGG
rnacentral:lncRNA from 1 species